GACGAACGCUGGCGGCGUGCCUAAUACAUGCAAGUAGAACGCUGAAGGAGGAGCUUGCUCUUCUGGAUGAGUUGCGAACGGGUGAGUAACGCGUAGGUAACCUGCCUGGUAGCGGGGGAUAACUAUUGGAAACGAUAGCUAAUACCGCAUAACAGUAGAUGUUGCAUGACAUUUACUUAAAAGGUGCAAUUGUAUCACUACCAGAUGGACCUGCGUUGUAUUAGCUAGUUGGUGGGGUAACGGCUCACCAAGGCGACGAUACAUAGCCGACCUGAGAGGGUGAUCGGCCACACUGGGACUGAGACACGGCCCAGACUCCUACGGCAGGCAGCAGUAGGGAAUCUUCGGCAAUGGACGGAAGUCUGACCGAGCAACGCCGCGUGAGUGAAGAAGGUUUUCGGAUCGUAAAGCUCUGUUGUAAGAGAAGAACGAGUGUGAGAGUGGAAAGUUCACACUGUGACGGUAUCUUACCAGAAAGGGACGGCUAACUACGUG
rnacentral:rRNA from 1 species